ensembl:lncRNA
ACUCAAAGCCUACCCAAGAUGACAAUGCCUGCUGCCUAUCAAGGGCCUUUAGAUGACCCUCUGUAGAGUAACUCUGACUGCUGAUCACAACUAUGACCCUCUCCAGCUGGAAGUAGCCAGAACAGUCUUCGCCCUUUGCCCUCUCACAGCAUUUAGGGGUCCUUCUUCAGAGGGAGAAAUAUUGCAGAUAGCAUACACCUAUGCUGUGUGUCCCAGAGGGAUCAGACGCAGGCUCUGUUCUCAGUCUGCUCCCGCCCAUUUUGAUGGCCAGCUUCCAGUCUUCAGGGUGUCUCCUGUCGAAGCCCAGCUGUCCCCUGCAAGAGGAGUGCCGAGGUGCUGCCGUCCACGUCAGAGAACUCGCUCCACGAAUCCAUCAUCAUUUUGCAUUUUGGGGUUCCCACCAGCUCUCGGUCCUUGUCUGCAUGUGUUCUAUAAAGGCAUGUGCCACACCUUCAACUGGGCCGCACCUCUGCACAGUGCCUGCAGUGACAGCCUUGGGGCACAACUCUGCUCCUGGCAGGGCCUGUGAUCUGGUCACCUGUCACCAGAGUCUGUAUCCAGUCAGUGUAAUGGUCACAGGCUGUUCACGAGAACAUGUAUAAAACACAAAAUUCCCA